GCACAAGCGGUGGAGUAUGUGGUUUAAUUCGACGCAACGCGAAGAACCUUACCAGGUCUUGACAUUGAUGGACAGAACUAGAGAUAGUUCCUCUUCUUCGGAAGCCAGAAAACAGGUGGUGCACGGUUGUCGUCAGCUCGUGUCGUGAGAUGUUGGGUUAAGUCCCGCAACGAGCGCAACCCCUAUCUUAUGUUGCCAGCACGUAAUGGUGGGAACUCAUGAGAGACUGCCGCAGACAAUGCGGAGGAAGGCGGGGAUGACGUCAAAUCAUCAUGCCCCUUAUGACCUGGGCUACACACGUACUACAAUGGGAGUUAAUAGACGGAAGCGAGAUCGCGAGAUGGAGCAAACCCGAGAAACACUCUCUCAGUUCGGAUCGUAGGCUGCAACUCGCCUACGUGAAGUCGGAAUCGCUAGUAAUCGCAGGUCAGCAUACUGCGGUGAAUACGUUCCCGGGCCUU
rnacentral:rRNA from 1 species